AACGAACGCUGGCGGCAGGCCUAACACAUGCAAGUCGAGCGAGGACUCCGGUCCUAGCGGCGCACGGGGGUGUAAAGCGUGGGAACGUGCCCUUUGCUUCGGAAUUGUACUGGGUAACUGGGAGUAAUACCGGAUGAGCUCCUUGGGGGACAGAUUGAUCGUCCAAGGAUCGGCCCGCGUUGGUUUAGGUAGUGGGUGGGGUAAUGGCCUACCAAGGCGACGAUCCAUAGCUGGUUUGAGAGGAAGGUCAGCCACACUGGGACUGAGACACGGUCGAGACUCCUAGGGGAGGGAGCAGUGGGUGAUCUUAGACUAUGGGGGAAGCCCUGAACGAGCCAGGCCGCGUGAGCCAUGAAGUCCUUAGGGUUGUAAAGCACUUUCAUCUGGGAAGAUAAUGACGGUACCAGCAGAAGAAGCCCCGGCUAACUCCGUG
rnacentral:rRNA from 1 species